UUAUAGUCAUUCGACCAUUGGUUCAGACAAAAUACUUCUUUUCAAGAAAAAGGGUUUCGUUGGGUGCCGCCGGCGGGCUAACCCCCCGCGUCUCUCCCCGCGAGGGGGAGGGAGCGGAGGCGCCGCCGAGGCAAGGUUGGGGGUUUUCACAAAGGGUGGAACCUUGGGCGCGGGGGCUUUUUUAGGGCCGCCCGCGCCUAGGGACGGCCGAGGCCGCCGGGUUUUGGUAAUGAUCCUUCCGCAGGUUCACCUACGGAAA
rnacentral:misc_RNA from 1 species